GGAGGAAACUCUGAUGCAGCAACGCCGCGUGGAGGAUGACGCAUUUCGGUGUGUAAACUCCUUUUAUGUGGGAAGAUAAUGACGGUACCAUAUGAAUAAGCACCGGCUAACUCCGUGCCAGCAGCCGCGGUAAUACGGAGGGUGCAAGCGUUACUCGGAAUCACUGGGCGUAAAGCGCGCGCAGGCGGCCAUUUAAGUUGGAUGUGAAAGCCUACGGCUCAACCGUAGAACUGCAUCCAAAACUAUUUGGCUAGAGUGUGGGAGAGGAAGAUGGAAUUACUUGU
rnacentral:rRNA from 1 species